rnacentral:rRNA from 1 species
CUAUUGGAAUUCGAUUAAGCCAUGCGAGUCGAGAGUCUUAGGGACUCGGCGUACCGCUCAGUAACACGUGGGUAACCUGCCCUGUGCUGGGGAAUAACCUCGGGAAACUGAGAAUAAUGCCCCAUAGUUCACCACGCCUGGAACGGUGGGUGGAUCAAAGCUCCGGCGGCACAGGAUGGGCCUGCGGCGUAUCAGGUCGUAGGGGGUGUAACGUACCCUCUAGCCUUCAACGCGUACGGGUUGUGGGAGCAAUCGCCCGGAGAUGGAUUCUGAGACACGAAUCCAGACCCUACGGGGUGCAGCAGGCGCGAAAACUUCACACUGCAGGAAACUGUGAUGAGGGAAUUCCAAGUGGCUAGACUAAGUCUAGUCUUUUUGUAACUUUUAAUCGGUUACAGAAUAAGGGGUGGGAAAGACCGGUGCCAGCCGCCGCGGUAAUACCGGCACCUCAAGUGGUCGUCGCUUUUAUUGGGCCUAAAACGUCCGUCGCCUGUUUGGUACAUUCGUGGGUAAAUCAACCAGCUCAACUGGUUGAAUUCUGCGAGGACGGCCAGACUAGGGACCGGGAGAGGUAUGGGGUACUCUCAGGGUAGGGGUAAAAUCCAGUCAUCCUGAGGGGACCACCUGUUGCGAAGGCGCCAUACUAGAACGGAUCCGACGGUCAGGGACGAGGCCUAGGGGCACGAACCGGAUUAGAUACCCGGGUAGUCCUAGGUGUAAACGCUGUGGACUUGGUGUUGGGGAUUCUACGAGUAUCCCCAGUGCCGGAGUGAAGAUGUUAAGUCCACUGCCUGGGGAGUACGGUCGCAAGGCUGAAACUUAAAGGAAUUGGCGGGGGAGCACUGCAACGAGAGGAGCGUGCGGUUUAAUUGGAUUCAACGCCGGG